AUUAGCAGCUGCGGCCUGGCCUAGCCUUGGCCUGGGCCCUGCGGCCUCCCCUACCCUGCCCAGCUACCUCUUCAAAAGCCAAACAAGACAGAAUUUUCCCUGCUCUUCUUUUCUUAAAUAUAUGGAUUCAUAGGGCAAUUGUAGCUGGUUAUUGGCUCUGUCAGCCAUGGAGGAAAGCUGUAAUAUUUCCACUGGGAAGGUCACUUCAUUUUCCUUACCCAGGAGACUCAAUUGAGGCAUAUCCAGGAUAGGUACCUCAUAGAGUGGGUCUUACUAAGAAACAUUUCUGUGCCUGUGAUUAUUCACCUUGAUUUAUCAAAAGUAAAACAUGCUUGACCUAUGGGAUUUCUUUAUGUGAAAAAAUAACCAGACUUUUGAUAAUCACGAGUGAAAUGGGUAUCCUUUAGUUCAACAAGGCUUUUGACAAUCUUCCACAAUACUCUAUCCAAAUGAGAAUGAUAUAGUCUGAGUGAGAGAAAAAACAGAUUUGUACAAAAGUCAUUUGAUUGUUAGGCUCAGCAGGUUGAGCUGAAAUGAGCUGUACUCUACCAGGUUGCUGGUAACAAGUGGGGCAACACAUGGACUGAUCCUGCUUAACACUUUGAUUGUUGACAUGGAGGAGCUUAUGGAAUGCUUGCAUAUAAGGUACUCUGUAAAUAGGAGACAAGGGGAUAUCAGUUUUGUUCAGAGGGACCUGGAAAAACUGGAGGAAUGGAUUGACAUGAAAUUAAUUAUAUUCAACAAGGAUAAAUGCAAACUCAUACACCUGAGAAAGAAUAUAUCCCUUUGUAACUGUACAUGCUGGAGACUCACCACCUGACAAGCAGCUAUUCUGUAACAGGCUUGUAGGAUGUGGUGAGUAGUAGGAGACUGUGGCGUGUCCUGGAAGCAAAGAAGACCAACAAUAACACUGUGAAGAUAGUGGGUUUCCACAGACCAGGGACCAUUUUGCCUGGAGAAGAGAAUGCUUUAAAGGAACUUAACAGCAGCUCUUUGGCACUGUCAGGCAAUUGAGGAGGCACCUGACAUGGCCUAGAGAUGUCUGUGGCUAGCCUGGCCUGUGCCAAGAGUGGCCACCCUAGAAGCAGCAGGAUACUCUGUGCGACUGUUGAUUGUCCUGAGCCAUGGAGUCCAGAGUGAAGGAAACAGAUGGAUCUCUUGUGUGGGUACUCAAAACGCUUCAAUUUCCAGGGACAAAUAACAGUAAAUACAGGGUUUCAACAGCUUAAGUAUGGGGAAGGGAACAUGGAGAGGAUACAAACUUGGACCAGUGGCAAGAAACCUGGGGAGGAGUAUAAGGUGGGGUAUGCAUUAUGACAACCAAUGGGAACAACAGGGGAGGAGAGUAGACAAAACAUCCCAAUGGGUAUUCAAGGGAAUAUAAGAUGGACACAGAAGUUUCUAGAGAUAAAGGAUUUCUGUGAUGGACAGGAGAGGAGGGUAGGGUUUCUCUGAGUGGCAGCGAAGGAUCCAGAAUAGGGGGUAGGUCUUUAGAUAGAUGGACAGGGGGAUGGGAAAGUACAUCUCCAGGGCAAACCAGUAUGCAUGGAGGACAACCGGAACAGACUGUUUUUGCUUACAACGCCAUAAUUUUAUAACAAAGGAACUCACUACCACAGGCACCAGCCAGUCUGUUCCUGUUAGGGUAUGGGGAAAGGCGUUCAAAAAACACUGCUGAAACAAGAGAGAAUCAGAUCAGAUCAUCCAGAUAACAGUUAAGCUGUAGAGCAAAGCAGGCCAAAAAAUUUUAUGGUGUUACGUUAAUCUAGUCUGACAUCAUAUCCAGGACAACUAGAGGGAAAUUGAACUGGAGAUGUCCUCAGUUUUCCAUCAGCUUGAGUUGUGUGUAUGUUCCUAUACUAUGGUCUUUAUUUGUGCUGAUAGGGAUGUGUAAAACCAGGGGCAGCUAGAUUAUAAAAACAGUAGAAGAGUGGUCAGUGGGGCAGUCAAGUUGAAGAUGCCAUCUCAAGAGCCCUUACCACAGAGACUCUCCUUGCCACCACAUGGUGAUGGAUUGUCCUGUCUGCUUUGACUACUUACAUAAAUGCAGUCCUAUGUCAACACCACAGUAAAUUAGUUUAGCUUUUAACAAACACUCUUUCAGUAUCUAUACAGUAGCAGUAUGAAGUAGUUGAAUCAAUUUAGUAAUUUAGUCAGUUGUGUAGGAGAAUUUGGGAUAAGUUGUAUUAUGCAAAGGCAGCUUUAUAUUUCAUAAUAUUUUCUUCUUCUCUCAUGGUCAGAAGUUCAAAUUGAUGUUUGUGGUUUUGGUAUUACGUUAUUUGUCCGUGUCACAUGUGGAAGGAGGUUAUAUGUGGGAAUAUGUGUAUCUUUAACAGUUGCUGCUGUUGACAAUUAAUAUUAUCAGAACAGGGUUGAGAAAAACGUAGUACUUAAAGGUUGGUAUGAAAAUGUAAGUAUUACAGUUUUUGGUUUUGUUUUGGAAAAGAGGUUCUAGCCCUUGUGAAUGUGAAAACAAACUUUUAAGAGCCUGAGUCACACAGAGAAGUCUACAUAUUCCUUUAUAUUUUGGAAGGUCUGAUUUAUUCCUAACACCUUUAUAAAAUUUUGGAAUGUGAUGGCAGAGCCCCAGUCAAUUGAAAAGUAUCAAGAAAACCUUCAUAACAGCUUCAAAGGGGGCACUUAAAAUAUUUCACACUGCAUGUGUAGAAAUGGAAGGGGGAAUGACAUUUCUGUAGUUUUUGGUUCCCCAUUUAUCUUGGCAUUCGAAAGCUGAGGUAGGAAGAAAACAAAUGCGAGUUCUGAUUGUAACAGGGCAAUAAUCAAUUGCCUUGUAGGGGAGAAAUGGCCUGUUCCAGCUUUUAAAUUUUGCAUUGAGGCAAGCCUUUUUAUUACUUUCUCCUAGGAUUAUCUCAUUCCUGUAACUUCUGUUAAUGCUUCUGCACACAUGCACAUUUAAAACAAUUUUUUACAGAAAGCAGAUGCUCUAAAAUCUAUUUUAAUCCAACUGCUGACAAUAUGCAACUAAAAAAAGUAGGAUAAACUUUAGAGUCUAAUGUCUUUUCCUUAAUUCUAUGUCUUUUUCUACCCCCUCCAAACUUUUCCUUUUUUUUUUCUUUUUUUUUUAAUAUUUGUUUGUCAGGGUGCUUUAUACAUCCUCUGACCCAUUAAAAUCAAUCUGAUUCAUUUUCCAUUACAAAUGGUAAAAGCUAUGUGUAUUUCCAGUUUAUUUUAACUGUAUGUAACUUCAUCGCCUGAAACAUAAUCCGUUAAAUGAUUUCUGAACUUGAAAAGCAGGCUGAUAUCUGGCACUCUCAUGGCACUUCAGACCCCUUAGGAUUUGUGUGUUUCCAUCCAGAAGAAAUAACACAUACCCAAAGUUAAAAACAGAAAAUCUAAUGGUUUCCUAGCCUGUUUGCUUUCAAUAUCUCCAGGUAUGAAGUGGAAGAAGCAGCUGAAAAGGUGAACAGGAACAAAGAAAGAUAUAUAAAAGGGUUUAUCAUCAUAAAAGGUGAGUUAAAUAGAGUGGAAGUUUCCUGCUGUUUCUAGUGCAAUUUCAGCUGGCCAUUUGCCCUAGCACAAAUGGAUGUGGAGACUGUCCUAACAGAGAAAUUAUUUUGGAUCCUAUUGCACAAUAAAUUAGACAGUGUCUCAGACAUCUGUGUCUGAGCUGACUUUUCUUUUCCUCAGAGGUUUUUGAAGACUUCUCCAGUAAUGGUGAAUAAUAAUUAAGUUCCCACACAGUCUUCCUUUUUGCGCCUCUGAGAUCCUUCUUCUGUGACCUCUCGUAUCCUUCUCUUAUUGUUUUAGGGUAUAACUGUUUCUACAUUUCUACAGAGGUUUCUCCUUCCAGACUUCAGCUACUGAGGAAUAAAUGACGAUGUGCUGUGACCUUUUAUACUAGCACUUCACAGUCCCAUAUGAAUUGCAAUUACAUUUUCUCUUUUUGGCAUGUGUGGCCCCUCAAGGCUUUACACAGCUGAUGAUCUGUGGCAGGUCUCUCCUGAGUAUCAGAAACAAGAUUGCCCAGAUGAACCACAGCUGCACAUUCAAGUACAGAAUUAUUUCUCAUGCAAAAAGCCCUGUGUACCUGAAUGGAACCUACAAGAGACCUGGAGAGGAGCUAUCUACAAGGACAUGUGACAGGGCACAUUGGAAUGUCUUCAAACUGAAAGAGGGAGAUGUCAGGAUGACUAAGUCCCCCAAUGGGAUCAGAGCCUGAGAGUGUGUUUUUUCCUGACGUAAGAAUGCUACAUUACUAUACUCCCUUCUAUCACACAGCCUCCAGUAAAUACCAACUGCAAGAUUUCCUUUAUCAGCUUGGCCUUCAAAUUUUUAGCUAUAAUCUCAACCCAUCCAUUGUUGCCUUUCAAAGGCAGCUUUGUGCGUUCAAUCCAUUGUUUACAGAAAAAGCAGCCUCUCUAUCUUUCCUUCCUUGCUUGUUACCUAUAAAUGGUGUGUAGCAUUUUUUGUUGCUCAUGUGUCUUGGUUUAAGCCCCGCACUACGCAACCACUCACUCAUACUCUGACCCCAGUGGAAUGCAGAGGAGAAUCAGAAGUAAGAUUUGUGAGUUGAGAUACAAACAGCUUAAUAAUUGGAAAAAAGUGAAAUAGAAUAAUAACAAGGAUGAUGAUGAUAAUAAUUAAUUAGGAAAAAGAAAAGAGAAAACCCAAGGAAAACAAGUGAUGCACAAUAUAGUCACUACCUGCUGACUGAUGGCAACUUCCCAUAGUGCACCAUGACUAGCCCCUGUUUGCAGGUAAAUCCCUCAGUUUAAAUACUGGACAUGAUAUUCCUGUAGAGUUUGAGUCAUCUGCCCAGACCAUGCUCCCUUCCAGCACUUUGUGCACUCCCUUGCUGGCAGAGCACAAGACACUGAAAAAGCCUUGACUAAAGGUAAACAAUGCUUAGCAACCACAAAAACACUGGUGUGUUACCAACACAUUUGGUAUUCCUAUGUUGAAUGCAAAACACAGAACUGUAUCAGCUACUGGAAAGAACUAAACUCUAACCCAUUUGAAAUUAGGGCACCAUGCUAUGUGCAUUGGUAUAGAGAAACUUUGGUAGUGCUAUUGACUGUCACACUUUCAGAGGAAUACACCAUAUUUGAGCCCCUGGCCACAUCCCAAGUCACCAAGACAUUCACUCAGUGUCCGUCUCCAGCAGGACAAGGGGUGAAAAUAAAAUAGGCAAGAUCAUGGGUCAUGGUACAGACAGAGAAAUCACCCAUUACUGUCCACAGACUUUACUUCAGGAUAAUGAAUUAAAUUUAUUGCCAAUUAACAUGAGAAUAAUAUUGUGAGAAAUAAAAUCAAAACCAAAGCCAGCUUCACCUUCCCCUUUCUUUCCAAACUCAGCUUAAGUCAUGACUCGUCUUAAUCCUCCCAAAUAUAAGCAAUGCAACUGUCCAUCUCCACUGCUUCUUCCUCCUCACACUUUUCUCUGCUGUAGUGUUGUGUCUCUUCAACAGAAUACAGUCCUUCACAAUAUGGAUCUUGGACUGCCGCUCUUCAGGAGUAGGGUGGGUCCCUCAUGGACCAAAGUUUCUGCCAGAAAACCUACUUCUAUGGGGGCUUCUCCAUGGACUGCAGUUGCUGCCCAGAGCCUGCUUCAUCUUGAGCUCAGGCUGCAGUUUCGUUCAGGACAUCUAUACUUGCUCUAGCAUGGAGUCCUCCACAGAUUAUGGUCCUGCACAGAUUGCAGUAGAACCUGUGUGCUGUCAUUGAGUCUCUCUUGGAACCAGCUGGAACUGGCUCUCUGACAUGGGGACAGUUCCUGGUGUCUUCUUGUGGGAGCCCUUCCCGUGAAAACCUGGCCAUGAAAAUGCAAUACAGAGCUAUAUCACAGGUGUUCCCCUUGAUGCCUUGAGAGGGUACCUAGAACAGAGGCUAAACAGUGUUAAAGAAAUAAAGUAGGUAUUUAAUAAAAAGGCCUUCAAAGGAUACACUUUGGGCAGUACAAUAGCCUGGCCAAGGCUACACCCAAGAUGGGUGACAGGUCACACAUUUUUUACACUUCUAUGUUUUGGUGAAUUUAAACACUGGGGUUAAUUGUCCAAUUACAGCUUCAGGUUAUGAAGUCACAUGCUCCCAGAUUGCUCUCUCCAAUUCACUGUUAUUUGUACUUUUUUGGCCUGAAGCUGGAAUGGUGCCUUUGGUUCUCAGGCUGGAUAAGGAUUGUUCACUAAACUGUGAAGAGAACUUGCUAACAUUUUAUAUGAAGUUGAGUCAUAUACUAAUGCAGUACAGAAUCUGGAAAAUAUGAAAGCUAAAACUUAAGGCAUCACCCUCUUAAUGCCUAGUUCAUCUGCAGCCCCUUUACUCAAAAUUCUCAAAAUUCCCAAAUUACUCAAAUUCCACUCUUUUCUCCCACUAAAUCCUGUUUAAAGCUCUCCUUUUAGGUACCUUUUAGAUUACCCUCAAAAAAGGGUAUAAACUCAAGCCAUAAACUGCAUCCUCAGAAGCAUCGCCAAGGACUCCUUUUGAAAGGUUUUAUCUGCAACAGCAAAGGAUCUUAGGAACAGAAUUUUAACAUGCAAAGUCUGAAAGUCUACAGGGAUUAUGCAGCUGAGCAAGCAUUGGCUCUGUUUUACUGGCUUUUGUGCCAUGACAGUGUCUGUGUAAGUGCUGGUGCCUUGGGUGUUUCCCAGUGUAUUGGAGAGGGAUGAAUGCCAGGGUGGAGGCUUGUGACCUGGAUUUCUCUAUCUCACUCUCUUCUAGGUCUUUUCAGACCACUUGUAGUCAAUUACUUUUCUCUCUUUUUUUUUUCCCUCUCUUUUUCAGUUGUUCUAUGUGUUUGCAAGAGUUCUAAAAUCAUGAACUUUUGGAAACUUUUCUGUGCUUUAUAUAAAGUGUUGUGAUCAAAGUCUCUAUGGCAGACAUCCCUGGGGUUCAUCUGCUUUGUGUCAGAAGCCUUAUGUUGGUUUCCUCCUUCUAUUUGUGGCUAAAUUUUAAAAGGAAGUUUCAGACAUUUGUGGAAGUGACUCAAAGUCAUUCUUUGUUGCCAAUUUAGUUACAGCUCACUUGGUGUUUUGAACUGCUUUAGCAACUGACUGCUAUUCUUUUGGAAUGAACUAGAAAAGUAUAAGCAGCAGGUAAAAUAUAUUAAAAGCUGCAUUCACACAGAUCUUCUCACUGUUAAAAUGAUCAUAAUUUCCAAACUCACUUGAGAUGUACACAGUAUGUAUCCUUCCUAUCAUCUCUUUGAUAUGUUUUAUAAAGUGCUCUUAAUUAUGGUUUUCUUCAAAAUAUCCAUUUUCCUAUUAUACAGAUAAAAUACAUGUUCAAAAUGCAGUUUCCCUCAUUGUGUGAUGUUCUCAUUAUUGGUCUCUGUAGCUUUGGAAUGGAAUGACCUAAAACAGAGCUUGAAAGACUCUGAGGUCCUUCACCUGGCCUGCUGUUCAGUAUCUGCCCUGAGCAGAUUCAUAGCUGGGUGAGUUUCCCUACUCCUCUCAUCUCUUUUUAUCAGUCACCCUCACUUCCAGAGACAUAUUUUACCUAUAAUUCUACAAAUCAUCCCCCAAAAACAAGCAAAAAACCCCCAAACAGAUAAAGCAGCUCCUUAGUAUUUACUCAUAUAUGCAGUAUUUGUGUGUUCAUGUGAAAACGAUGUCUGUGUAUGUAUAUGUAUGAGCAUAAACAUGUUUAUAUGUGUGUGUUUGCAU